UUUAUGAUGGCAGAAAAAUGUGUUGAAUUUAAGCUUCAAAGAUAGAAAAGUUUUUUCUUUAUAAAA
rnacentral:tRNA from 1 species